CGGCGCGGCCUGCAGCAGCCUAUAUAGGCGCCCGCCGGCCGCUGCGCCCGCCGCUGCCAUGAGGAUCGCAGCCCAGGUGUGCUUGCUGGCUGUUCUCCACCUGAUUACUGCACCUGAGGCUGGCGCAUUCUUCCUGCCCUUCUGGUGUUUCAAGCUUGCGAGGAAGUGGCGCCUGCCCUGGCUAGGCGAGGAGGAUGGCCGGCACGAACACGUGCACUACCACAACCACAACCACAACCACAGGCACAGGCUGCCACUGCCGCCGCGCCGGCCGUUCUUCAGAUAACCAACGCACUGCGUCAGCAGCUGAGCAGCAUUUUCCCGCUCAAC